UACGAAGGGGGCUAGCGUUGCUCGGAAUCACUGGGCGUAAAGGGUGCGUAGGCGGGUCUUUAAGUCAGGGGUGAAAUCCUGAGCUCAACUCCAGAACUGCCUUUGAUACUGAGGAUCUUGAGUAUGGGAGAGGUGAGUGGAACUGCGAGUGUAGAGGUGAAAUUCGUAGAUAUUCGCAAGAACACCAGUGGCGAAGGCGGCUCACUGGCCCAUUACUGACGCUGAGGCACGAAAGCGUGGGGAGCAAACAGG
rnacentral:rRNA from 1 species